GUGCCAGCCGCUGCGGUAACACGUAGGGUGCGAGCGUUGUCCGGAAUUAUUGGGCGUAAAGAGCUCGUAGGCGGCUUGUCACGUCGGAUGUGAAAGCCCGGGGCUUAACCCCGGGUCUGCAUUCGAUACGGGCAGGCUAGAGUUCGGUAGGGGAGAUCGGAAUUCCUGGUGUAGCGGUGAAAUGCGCAGAUAUCAGGAGGAACACCGGUGGCGAAGGCGGAUCUCUGGGCCGAUACUGACGCUGAGGAGCGAAAGCAUGGGAGCGAACAGGAUUAGAUACCCUGGUAGUCCAUGACCGUAAACGUUGGGAACUAGGUGUGGGCGACAUUCCACGUCGUCCGUGCCGCAGCUAACGCAUUAACGU
rnacentral:rRNA from 1 species